UUCCAAAAUAGUUUAAAAAAUAAGGUUGAAGCUUCCCGUGAAUCCAAGCCUGGUUUCAGGAAACCAGUCCGUGCUUUAAGAGGAUGACUUAAAGAAUAAGUCCAGUUGAUGGCAACAGACAGGACGAGACUGGGCAAACACGUUAACACCACACAAUGUUGACCAGACCAAACACGUAUUACAGUACUUUGACUUUCAAUCACAACCUCUCAUGAUGCUGCUGGCAUAGUAUGAAAAAGGAGCGAGCAUUCAAACACGUAUUGAAAAUAGCAACGCUUUAAUAAAGAGCGAUUUUACAAGACUGCAAUGUCUAGCUAGCUAGGUGAUAACUGGCAUUGACAUCCAUGGUGUUUUACAAAGAUGCAGUUAUGGUAACUGGGUUUGAAGUUUGAUGGGUUACUUGCAAGUUGCAUUUCUGCAUGCGAGGCAGCCUUCAAACAGUUCCAGACCCUACAUUGUAAAACAGUUGAUAAUGAAUGUCAAUGAACGUUAAUGUCAAGAGGUAAGUAAAAAAUCUCAUGGAGAAAUUUCCUUAACGUUUUCCAAACACACCGGUAAGUGAGAGUUCACACAAUGGUCAUGCUUUUACCGGGCACACAAGCCAAUAAAAAGACGACACUUAAUCAUGCAAAAGAAGACAGUUUCUUUGUCUCUAAAAACAAAAGAACAAAAAAAAUCAUUUUGA